CUUAAACAUUUUUUUUAUUUUGUUUUUUUUAUUCAACCAUUUUUUGUUCCAAACCAGGAAUGUACUUGUUUUUUUUUCCUCUCUUUAAAGUUGGGUUGGUGGAGGAGGAGUAUGGAGGUGGUGGAUGGAGAGGGGUUCAAAAGGUCAUUGUGGUGUAGAUGGAGUUAAAACUGGGGAGAAGAAGUAGAGAGGAGGAAGAGGAGGAAGAGGAGGAGCAGGAGGAGGAGGAGCGAUGGAGGAGAGGAGGACAUCAAAAUGCAAAAAGCCUUCUCACAGUGGUCAACCAAUACAGAAUCUCACCACAUCACCGGACUAGAGACACAGCGCUCCUGUGCUGCCUAUUGGCACAAAGGGAAAACACACACACACACAAUCAGGUGAAAGAGGAGAAAUUGUGUGCGCUUUCUUUCUUUUGCUUUCCUUUUUUUCCUGCACAAACUUCCCAGAAAAAUAACACCACACCACCGGCUCUCGUUAUCUUUGAAAUGGCAGCUGUGUGUUGGUGAUUUCUCUGUUUUUUUCUCUCCUCUCCCCCAAUCCACCAGUCAACUAACAAACAAGCGCACACCAGAGGCACAAUCUUGUACUAACAGGAAGAAACAAAAGCGAAAAACGGACCAAAAAGAAAAAAAGAAAAAAACCUUUUGAGUCCUAAAGAUUAUCAACAGUCGCCAGAGAAAGGAGCGAGAGGAGAGAAAUGGACCCGAAUCAGGGACUGGAGUCUUCAAAGACAACUUUGUAAAAACCCAACAAGCGGUGUUUGCCCACCGCUGUUUAAAUCUGCAUCCAUUUUGGAUCAAAAACUGUAUUUUUUUUGGCAGGCAUUGCAAGCCUUGCAAACCGUUGUUAUAGAAGCAAAGGGGGGUGGAGAGGAGAGAGAGACAGAGAGAGAAAAAGAGAGAGAGAGAGAGAGAGAGAGAGAGAGUGACGUGUCAUUUGGCUUGGUGGAUAUUUUAAUUUUUCGGACCAUGUUAAAUAGACAUAGACUCACGGUAUACAUGAAAUAAACAGAAACAAACAAAACAGAAACAGAUCUCUGAGGUACUUGACCUCAAUUUCACCGCAGGACUAGGAAAGAAAUUAAAUUAAAAAAGCUCAACGUCGAGACACCCAAACACAGUCCAUAAAAACUCAUCUUUGCUUGUUUUUAACAAAUGAAUACACGACCAAGGGUGACGACGGCAUUAUGCCGCCACAACCGUCAAUAACUUUUUUUUCUAAAAACACUGUUAGGCUUGUCCAAAAGGCCCAGACAUGAGCAAUGGAAUAAUCAAUCACGAGCACAAUCGCGUAGUAGGGGAGGGUUCAUGUAUGGUUGGAAACACAAACACACAAAAACGAAACGGAAGCGCACACUUUGCGUAACGAUACUCGCCCUUCUCGGGGGGGGGGGUGCAGUGCAGACGCCGGCCACGUUUGGCACGCACUCUUACACACGCUAACACGCGCACGCACGCACACACACACAACUUUAAAGCAACGCGGGAUGGCGAGACGACUAGUAUGCACAAUGUACGAACAUGUUUGUGCUUCUGAGAAUGUGAUAUUGAACUCCGAGUCGGAGGUUGUGAGGUUGCGAGCGGGAGAAAAACACCCUUGAGUUCCACCAGACCAGCCUUAAUCAACAGCGGACUGCUGUUAUAGCGGAGAGCAAUCAAUGUGUGUGUACGUGUUAAAAAGAGAGAGCGAGCCCUGGGGAGGGGAGAGAGUCCGAGAGAGAGAGAGAGAGAGAGAGAGAGAGACCCAGGGAGGGACUGGAGAGAGAGAGAGAGAGAGAACUUGAAUAUCAAUGCAAUCAACCGCCAUUUGAACUGGCCCCUAAGGGUGUGAAAUCUCAAUGCGUAUGUGCAUGUGUGUGUGUGGUCUUGUGUCCUGUGUGUGUGUUUGUGUGUGUAUGUUAGUGUGUCUAUGUGUGUGUGUGUGUGUGUGUGUGUGUGUGUGUGUGUAUGGGAUCUUGAUUUGCUCCAUGGAUAGGGUCUGUCUCUUCCCCGAGAAUCCAUUUGAAAGUGUGUGUCCAGACUGUCCUUUGAAGGAGAAGCCAGGGAGGGUGUGGAGGAGGUCCAAGGAGUCAUAAUCAGGAGAAGAACAUUCAAAGGAAAAUAGAAUUACUCCUUCACCAGUCAUUUUAUUCCGUCCUUCUCUCUCUCCUCAGUUGCUGAAAGAUCCUCCGUCUCUCCCAGCCCACACUCCCCCUUCAACCCUCCACACACACUCGUUCUCGUUAUUGUACUGUCCCGCUUCCUUCAUAGUCCUUUCCGUCCACGUUUCUCCCCAUCUCUCUCUCCUAAGAAAGUUCUGCGUUGCUCCAUUCCGGACCGAACUCCGGCUCGGACGCUCCAAUCAUCCGAUUCUUCCUCCUUUUCUCCCCCCUCCCGUCUUCUCUCCCUCCCUC
ensembl:lncRNA